UCGUCACACUAUCGUUAACUGAAUACAUAGGUUAACGAGGCGAACCGGGGGAACUGAAACAUCUAAGUACCCCGAGGAAAAGAAAUCAACCGAGAUUCCCCCAGUAGCGGCGAGCGAACGGGGAGCAGCCCAGAGUCUGAAUCAGCUUGUGUGUUAGUGGAACGGUCUGGAAAGUCCGACGGUACAGGGUGAUAGUCCCGUACACCAAAAUGCACAGGUUGUGAACUCGAAGAGUAGGGCGGGACACGUGGUAUCCUGUCUGAAUAUGGGGGGACCAUCCUCCAAGGCUAAAUACUCCUGACUGACCGAUAGUGAACCAGUACCGUGAGGGAAAGGCGAAAAGAACCCCGGCGAGGGGAGUGAAAAAGAACCUGAAACCGUGUACGUACAAGCAGUGGGAGCACCUUCGGGUGUGACUGCGUACCUUUUGUAUAAUGGGUCAGCGACUUAUAUUCUGUAGCAAGGUUAACCGUAUAGGGGAGCCGCAGGGAAACCGAGUCUUAACUGGGCGUUAAGUUGCAGGGUAUAGACCCGAAACCCGGUGAUCUAGCCAUGGGCAGGUUGAAGGUUGGGUAACACUAACUGGAGGACCGAACCGACUAAUGUUGAAAAAUUAGCGGAUGACUUGUGGCUGGGGGUGAAAGGCCAAUCAAACCGGGAGAUAGCUGGUUCUCCCCGAAAGCUAUUUAGGUAGCGCCUCGUGAACUCAUCUUCGGGGGUAGAGCACUGUUUCGGCUAGGGGGUCAUCCCGACUUACCAACCCGAUGCAAACUACGAAUACCGAAGAAUGUUAUCACGGGAGACACACGGCGGGUGCUAACGUCCGUCGUGAAGAGGGAAACAACCCAGACCGCCAGCUAAGGUCCCAAAGUCAUGGUUAAGUGGGAAACGAUGUGGGAAGGCACAGACAGCCAGGAUGUUGGCUUAGAAGCAGCCAUCAUUUAAAGAAAGCGUAAUAGCUCACUGGUCGAGUCGGCCUGCGCGGAAGAUGUAACGGGGCUAAACCAUGCACCGAAGCUGCGGCAGCGACACUAUGUGUUGUUGGGUAGGGGAGCGUUCUGUAAGCCUGCGAAGGUGUGCUGUGAGGCAUGCUGGAGGUAUCAGAAGUGCGAAUGCUGACAUAAGUAACGAUAAAGCGGGUGAAAAGCCCGCUCGCCGGAAGACCAAGGGUUCCUGUCCAACGUUAAUCGGGGCAGGGUGAGUCGACCCCUAAGGCGAGGCCGAAAGGCGUAGUCGAUGGGAAACAGGUUAAUAUUCCUGUACUUGGUGUUACUGCGAAGGGGGGACGGAGAAGGCUAUGUUAGCCGGGCGACGGUUGUCCCGGUUUAAGCAUGUAGGCUGGUUGUCCAGGCAAAUCCGGAUAAUCAAGGCUGAGGUGUGAUGACGAGGCACUACGGUGCUGAAGUAACAAAUGCCCUGCUUCCAGGAAAAGCCUCUAAGCAUCAGGUAACAUUAAAUCGUACCCCAAACCGACACAGGUGGUCAGGUAGAGAAUACCAAGGCGCUUGAGAGAACUCGGGUGAAGGAACUAGGCAAAAUGGUGCCGUAACUUCGGGAGAAGGCACGCUGGUGUGUAGGUGAAGUCCCUGCGGAUGGAGCUGAGACCAGUCGAAGAUACCAGCUGGCUGCAACUGUUUAUUAAAAACACAGCACUGUGCAAACACGAAAGUGGACGUAUACGGUGUGACGCCUGCCCGGUGCCGGAAGGUUAAUUGAUGGGGUUAUCCGUAAGGAGAAGCUCUUGAUCGAAGCCCCGGUAAACGGCGGCCGUAACUAUAACGGUCCUAAGGUAGCGAAAUUCCUUGUCGGGUAAGUUCCGACCUGCACGAAUGGCGUAAUGAUGGCCAGGCUGUCUCCACCCGAGACUCAGUGAAAUUGAACUCGCUGUGAAGAUGCAGUGUACCCGCGGCAAGACGGAAAGACCCCGUGAACCUUUACUAUAGCUUGACACUGAACAUUGAGCCUUGAUGUGUAGGAUAGGUGGGAGGCUUUGAAGCGUGGACGCCAGUCUGCGUGGAGCCAACCUUGAAAUACCACCCUUUAAUGUUUGAUGUUCUAACGUUGGCCCCUGACCGGGGUUGCGGACAGUGUCUGGUGGGUAGUUUGACUGGGGCGGUCUCCUCCCAAAGCGUAACGGAGGAGCACGAAGGUUAGCUAAUCCUGGUCGGACAUCAGGAGGUUAGUGCAAUGGCAUAAGCUAGCUUGACUGCGAGCGUGACGGCGCGAGCAGGUGCGAAAGCAGGUCAUAGUGAUCCGGUGGUUCUGAAUGGAAGGGCCAUCGCUCAACGGAUAAAAGGUACUCCGGGGAUAACAGGCUGAUACCGCCCAAGAGUUCAUAUCGACGGCGGUGUUUGGCACCUCGAUGUCGGCUCAUCACAUCCUGGGGCUGAAGUAGGUCCCAAGGGUAUGGCUGUUCGCCAUUUAAAGUGGUACGCGAGCUGGGUUUAGAACGUCGUGAGACAGUUCGGUCCCUAUCUGCCGUGGGCGCUGGAGAAUUGAGGGGGGCUGCUCCUAGUACGAGAGGACCGGAGUGGACGCAUCACUGGUGUUCGGGUUGUCAUGCCAAUGGCACUGCCCGGUAGCUAAAUGCGGAAGAGAUAAGUGCUGAAAGCAUCUAAGCACGAAACUUGCCCCGAGAUGAGUUCUCCCUGAGACUUUAAGUCUCCUGAAGGAACGUUGAAGACGAUGACGUUGAUAGGCCGGGUGUGUAAGCGCAGCGAUGCGUUGAGCUAACCGGUACUAAUGAACCGUGAGGCUUAACCUU
rnacentral:rRNA from 1 species